GCUGGGAUUACGGGUGCAUGCCACCAAGCCUGGCUAAUUUUUUGUGUAUUUUUAGUAGAGACGGGGUUUCUACCAGGUUGGUCAGGAGAUAGGAAACCAUGAGUGUAUUCUGACAUAAUUAACUGAAUAAAUUUAAAGUCUGUAACAACCCUUUUUAGAGGGUUAUUAUUAAAAUUCUGAAAAUCUUACACAAACCCAUCAUGCAUGCAGAGCUGAAUUUCAAGAAUGACUCACCAAAACUCAGGUCUUCCUUUUAGUUUACACCUCACCUCAAACCCAUCUUGAGGAGCCUACCAUUCCCCCCUUGAUAGGGGGAUAUGAUAGUUUUGAAUAAACAAAUGGUAUGAACCAAAUCUGUUGCUUUUCAUUUAAUCCAGUUAGCCGGGCUGCUCCUCCAUACCACACCUGGGUUCAGAUUCCCCAAAUCAGGCCCCACUUCUCAAAUCUAAGGAUUCUCAGGAUGAGUCCUUAGAUUUAAGAAGUAUAAUGAGUCCUAGCUGGACGCAGUGGCUCAUGCGUGUAAUCCGAACACUUUGGGAGGCUGAGGCAGGAAGAUUAUUUGAGCCCAGGGGUUCAAGACUAGCCUGGGCAACAGGGUGAAACCAUAUUUCUAUUUUAAAAAAUCAUAAUAAAUGAGUCCCAGGCAGGAAAAAUGAAAUUAACUCUGUCCCUGACACAAUGUGAUGAAACUACAGAACCCCAGAAACAAAAAAUUCUUAUAAUGCCUGAAAAAAAAAGAGAUUGCCUACAAAGGAAAGCAAUUAAAUUUACAUAAGGUGAAUUAAUAGACGGCAGAGGCAAAGGAGUAUCUUCAAAGUUCUGAGGGGAAAUAACAAUCAACCUUGAAUUCUAUAGUCAGAUAACCUACCAUUUUGAACAAAACUGAGACUGAGCGACUAAAACAUGUUUACUGAAAGCAUUUUGCAGGAAAAAGGAAAUCAAACACAUAAGAAA
rnacentral:lncRNA from 1 species